CACGGGGGGAGCAAGCGUUGUUCGGAAUCACUGGGCGUAAAGGGUGUGUAGGUGGCGCCGUAAGUCGGGUGUGAAAUCUCGGAGCUUAACUCCGAAACUGCAUUCGAUACUGCCGUGCUUGAGGACUGGAGAGGAGACUGGAAUUCUCGGUGUAGCGGUGAAAUGCGUAGAUAUCGAGAGGAACACCUGCGGCGAAGGCGGGUUGCUGGGCUGACACUGACGCUGAGGCGCGAAAGCCAGGGGAGCGAACGGG
rnacentral:rRNA from 1 species